rnacentral:rRNA from 3 species
AAAUUGAAGAGUUUGAUCAUGGCUCAGAUUGAACGCUGGCGGCAGGCCUAACACAUGCAAGUCGAACGGUAACAGGAAGCAGCUUGCUGCUUCGCUGACGAGUGGCGGACGGGUGAGUAAUGUCUGGGAAACUGCCUGAUGGAGGGGGAUAACUACUGGAAACGGUGGCUAAUACCGCAUAACGUCGCAAGACCAAAGAGGGGGACCUUCGGGCCUCUUGCCAUCAGAUGUGCCCAGAUGGGAUUAGCUAGUUGGUGAGG